GGUACAGGAAGUAAUUGGUUUGAUGUAGGCCGUAGACCAAGCCCAAUUAUGAAAGCCCAACUCAUGCACACACUAUUGGUCCCUCUAUGUCUGUAUACGAUGAUCUCGCUGCGGCGUCACUCUACCCUUCCAAGAACAUUUCCAGCCUAAAAACACUCCAUUUUGCAUCGAAAGCGCAUUUUAUUGUGAAUAGUUCCGUCUCUUUCAUCCAGUUAUUGAUGGCUCUUUUGUUCCAGAAAUUUCAAGAGGCUGUGAAAACCCUGGCAAAGCGCCCUUCUUUCACUAAGGAUCCUAGACAACUACAAUUUGAAGCUGACAUUAACCGCUUGUUCCUAUAUUUGAGCUAUAAUCAUCUAGGGAAGAAUGCUGAUGAAGCACAUGCUGAAGAGAUUAUUGAAAUGGCUAGUAAAGCCUCAUUUGCUGAUCAACAAAUGCAAGUACAAGAAAAUGUUCAUUCACAAAUUAAAACAUUUUGCACUUUCAUGGAUGAAAUUCUACUUCCAAAUGAAAAGAUGGUAAAUGAACAUCAACUGCAAAACACCGUGCCUCGCCGAAGUGGGCUUGGUUUUGCUGUGGGUAGUAGGAAUGAUCCUGCCUAUAAUAAUCUUGCUUCCCCCAAGACAAGACCAUUAAGCCAAGCUGUAGUUUCUCAAAAUUUAAAAGAUCAACUUGGCUACACAGUUAAUGUCACACCUUCUCAAAUACCUCACAAGGAUGCUGGCCAGGGUCUUUUUUUAGAUGGCACAGUAGAUGUUGGUGCUGUAGUGGCCUUUUAUCCAGGCAUAGUCUACUCUCCAGCUUAUUACCGUUACAUUCCAGGGUACCCAAAGGUUGAUACACUGAACCCCUAUUUGAUUACAAGAUAUGAUGGAAAUGUCAUCAAUGCUCAACCUUGGGGUUCUGGAGGUGACAACCGAGAACUGUGGAAUGGUAGAAAAACCGGAGAAAUCAAGCCUGAUGUAAAAGGAGCUGAGCCUGAGAAAGGUUCAGAAAGGUUCUGGAAACUGCUGAGUAAGCCUUUGGAAGGCUACCAAGGAGGUAACAAUGAAGUGAUUGAGCGUAGAAACCCAUUAGCCUUAGCUCAUUUUGCCAAUCACCCUCCAAAAGGGGUGCAACCAAAUGUCAUGAUUUGCCCUUAUGACUUUCCAUUGACCGAAAGCAACAUGAGAGUCUACAUUCCAAAUGUGUUGUUUGGAAACGCAGAAGUAAAUAUGAGGAGAUUUGGCAGCUUUUGGUUCAAGUCUGGUGGAGGGUCAAGAAAUAGUGGAUCAAAUGUUCCAACACUAAAAACUCUUGUUUUGAUUGCUACUAGGCCUCUCCAAGAUGAGGAACUCUUCCUGAACUACAGGCUGAGCAAUACUAAGCGCAGGCCGGAAUGGUAUAAUCCGGUGGAUGAAGAAGAGGAUAGGAGAAGAUGGAGCUAGCCAGUCGAGAAUUCCCUUGUUUUUGUCUCAUAGAAAGUUGUAUUUGUGAUCCUUAUUUGGAUGUUAUUUUUGUUGACAUACCAAGGAUGAUAAAUUUUUUGUGGGAUUGAUUUUGUUGGUAUGUUUUUAGAGGUCAAAAUCCAACUCAAGGUGAUGUACCGAAAAUCCUAGUUCUAUUAAACUAAAUAAUGAUUAAUGACAGUAUCACCCUCAAAGUUUGUUGUUGUGGUUUCUUUU